UAGGGAAUCUUCCACAAUGGACGAAAGUCUGAUGGAGCAACGCCGCGUGAGUGAUGAAGGGUUUCGGCUCGUAAAACUCUGUUGUUGGAGAAGAACGGGUGUCAGAGUAACUGUUGACGUCGUGACGGUAUCCAACCAGAAAGCCACGGCUAACUACGUGCCAGCAGCCGCGGUAAUACGUAGGUGGCAAGCGUUGUCCGGAUUUAUUGGGCGUAAAGCGAGCGCAGGCGGUUUUUUAGGUCUGAUGUGAAAGCCUUCGGCUUAACCAGAGAAGUGCAUCGGAAACCGGGAGACUUGAGUGCAGAAGAGGACAGUGGAACUCCAUGUGUAGCGGUGAAAUGCGUAGAUAUAUGGAAGAACACCAGUGGCGAAGGCGGCUGUCUGGUCUGCAACUGACGCUGAGGCUCGAAAGCAUGGGUAGCGAACAGGAUUAGAUACC
rnacentral:rRNA from 1 species